rnacentral:rRNA from 2 species
ACGGAAGGCAGCAGUGGGGAAUAUUGCACAAUGGGCGAAAGCCUGAUGCAGCGACGCCGCGUGAGUGAAGAAGUAUCUCGGUAUGUGAAGCUCUAUCAGCAGGGAAGAAAAUGACGGUACCUGACUAAGAAGCCCCGGCUAACUACGUGCCAGCAGCCGCGGUAAUACGUAGGGGGCAAGCGUUAUCCGGAUUUACUGGGUGUAAAGGGAGCGUAGACGGUUUGGCAAGUCUGAAGUGAAAUGCGGGGGCUCAACUCCUGAACUGCUUUGGAAACUGUCGAACUAGAGUGCAGGAGAGGUAAGUGGAAUUCCUAGUGUAGCGGUGAAAUGCGUAGAUAUUAGGAGGAACACCAGUGGCGAAGGCGGCUUACUGGACUGUAACUGACGUUGAGGCUCGAAAGCGUGGGGAGCAAACAGGAUUAGAUACCCUGGUA